UUUGCGACCCGACCUGAGUGGAGCUCUUUUUGUGCAACAAAAAAGCGGGAACGGAGGGCGGAAAUUGUC
rnacentral:misc_RNA from 1 species